rnacentral:rRNA from 1 species
CAGUCGGACGAGAAAGGCUGAUUUCGGUUGGCCGAGUAAAGUGGCGCACGGGUGAGUAACGCGUAGGCAACCUACCCUUGUAUUGGGGAUAACCCUGCGAAAGUGGGGCUAAUACCGGAUGAGACCCUAUUCUGGAGGGGAUAGGGUGAAAGUCGGCCGCUCGGAGAAGCUGACGUACGAGGAUGGGCCUGCGUCCUAUCAGCUGGUUGGUGGGGUAGCGGCCUACCAAGGCGACGACGGGUAGCUGGUCUGAGAGGAUGAUCAGCCACACUGGCACUGGAACACGGGCCAGACUCCUACGGGAGGCAGCAGUGAGGAAUUUUGCGCAAUGGCCGCAAGGCUGACGCAGCAACGCCGCGUGGGUGAUGAAGGCCUUCGGGUCGUAAAGCCCUGUCAGGUGGGAAGAAAGGCCUGGAGAGGAAAGGUUUCAGGUUUGACGGUACCACCAGAGGAAGCACCGGCUAACUCCGUGCCAGCAGCCGCGGUAAUACGGAGGGUGCGAGCGUUAUUCGGAAUUACUGGGCGUAAAGCGCGUGUAGGCGGGGGGACAAGUCUGAUGUGAAAGCCCUGGGCUUAACCUGGGAAGCGCAUUGGAAACCGUUUUUCUUGAGUACUGGAGAGGAAGGGGGAAUUCCCGGUGUAGAGGUGAAAUUCGUAGAGAUCGGGAGGAAUACCAGUGGCGUAGGCGCCCUUCUGGACGGUAACUG